GGCCCCGUGGCGAAAUUGGUAGACGCACCGAACUUAAAAUUCGGAGCCCGCAAGGCGUGCCGGUUCGAGCCCGGCCGGGGCCACCA
rnacentral:tRNA from 1 species